UACGGAGGGUGCAAGCGUUAUCCGGAUUCACUGGGUUUAAAGGGUGCGUAGGUGGAUUAGUAAGUCAGUGGUGAAAUCUCCGGGCUUAACCCGGAAACUGCCAUUGAUACUAUUUGUCUUGAAUACCGUGGAGGUCAGCGGAAUAUGUCAUGUAGCGGUGAAAUGCUUAGAUAUGACAUAGAACACCAAUUGCGAAGGCAGCUGGCUACACGAAUAUUGACACUGAUGCACGAAAGCGUGGGGAUCAAACAGG
rnacentral:rRNA from 1 species